GACGAACGCUGGCGGCGCGCUUAAUACAUGCAAGUCGAACGAGAAGCCAGAGCUUGCUCUGGUGGAAAGUGGCGAACGGGUGAGUAACACGUGAGAAACCUGCCCAAAGAUUGGGAUAAGCCUUGGAAACGAGGUCUAAUACCAAAUACCUUCUUUUUAACACAUGUUAAAAAGAAGAAAUGCUCCGGCGCUUUGGGAUGGUCUCGCGAUCUAUCAGCUUGUUGGUGAGGUAACGGCUCACCAAGGCAUCGACGGAUAGCUGGUCUGAGAGGAUGUCCAGCCACAUUGGAACUGAGACACGGUACCAAACUACC
rnacentral:rRNA from 1 species